CCUACGGGAGGCAGCAGUGAGGAAUAUUGGUCAAUGGGCGGGAGCCUGAACCAGCCAAGUAGCGUGAAGGAUGACUGCCCUAUGGGUUGUAAACUUCUUUUAUAUGGGAAUAAAAUGUUCCACGUGUGGGAUUUUGUAUGUACCAUAUGAAUAAGGAUCGGCUAACUCCGUGCCAGCAGCAGCGGUAAUACGGAGGAUCCGAGCGUUAUCCGGAUUUAUUGGGUUUAAAGGGAGCGUAGGUGGAUUGUUAAGUCAGUUGUGAAAGUUUGCGGCUCAACCGUAAAAUUGCAGUUGAAACUGGCAGUCUUGAGUACAGUAGAGGUGGGCGGAAUUCGUGGUGUAGCGGUGAAAUGCUUAGAUAUCACGAAGAACUCCGAUUGCGAAGGCAGCUCACUGGACUGCAACUGACACUGAGGCUCGAAAGUGUGGGUAUCAAACAGGAUUAGAUACCCGGGUAGUC
rnacentral:rRNA from 1 species